rnacentral:ncRNA from 1 species
UCCCGAAAAAGCCACCCCCUUUUAGGAGGGGACGGAAAGCAACGGGUCUUGACAAGAGAUGGCCGAGCUGCCGAA